GCCCAAGUAAUAUAAUCUUAAAAACUUACAGUAAUAGAAACAAAUAAAUAAAUUCUAAUAAUAAUAAAGUACAGAAAUGGAAACAAAUAAUAAAUAAAAGUAAUAAUUAAUAAUUGUACCUUGUGCAUUAUGGUUUUACAAGAAAAUAAUUAAAAAUAUAUAUCCCGAAUUCUUAAUGAGAUGUUAAACUGCUGUUACGAACCCACUAAUAACUGUAGAAAAAGCUUUAAAAGACAGUUUAACAGAGGCUACAUACCAUACGCAUAAGAAUAUAGCUGGUUUUCAACAAACAUUAUAUAUUAAAACAUAUAAUUAUAUUAUAGUGUAAAAUUAUUGAGGAUAAGCCCAAUAAUAAUAGCAAUAAACUAAAACAAACCUAUUUAUAUUUAUAGGCCUAAAAACAGCCAACUAAAAUACUUCACCGUAAUAAGCACUGAUAUAAUGUGUAAAAAAGAAUGCUAAAUAAAGUUGAAACAAUGGAUAAAUCACCUGCACCCAAUUAUAUUAUGUAAAAAUAAGUAUUUUAAAAAUAUAUUAAUAAUAAUCUAGUAACCAACAACACAUAUUAAUAACAAUAACUAAUUAAGGAACUCGGCAAAAUAUUAUUUCGACUGUUUAACAAAAACAUUGUCUCAUGAAUAAUAUAUGAGAUAAUACCUGCCCAGUGACGUACUGUUCAACGGCCGCGGUAUCCUAACCGUGCAAAGGUAGCAUAAUCACUUGCCUAUUAAUUGUAGGCUAGAAUGAAAGGGUUAACGAAAUAAAGACUGUCUCAAUUAGCCACCUAAAAAUUAUUAUCCACUUGAAGAAAAGUAGAUAACCUCGAAGGACAAGAAGACCCUAUAGAGCUUAAUUUUAACCAUAGAACUAUACUAUACAAAUAUUCGGUUGGGGCGACCCAGGGCUAAAUAAUCACCCACUACAUAAAAGAUAUAUUAAUCAAACAAUUGACCCUUAAAAGAUCACUAAACCAAGCUACCUUAGGGAUAACAGGCUAAUCCCACUCAAGAGUCCUUAUCAACAGUGGGGUUUGGCACCUCGAUGUUGGCUUAGGGUAUCUAUAUAGCGCAAAAGUUAUAUUAAGAUGGUUUGUUCAACCAAUAAAUUCCCUACAUGAGCUGAGUUCAGACCGGCGUAAGCCAGGUUAGCUUCUAUCCUCGACCACAUAUUCUACUCCUAGUACGAAAGGACCUGAGUAGAAUAAUUAUUUAUACAAAAGAAUACAUAUAAUUAAAUAUAAACAAUUUCACAAUAUAAACUAUA
rnacentral:rRNA from 1 species